CAGCAGCCGCGGUAAUACGUAGGGAGCGAGCGUUGUCCGGAUUUAUUGGGCGUAAAGAGCUCGUAGGCGGCUUGGUAAGUCGGAUGUGAAACCUCCAGGCUCAACCUGGAGACGCCAUCCGAUACUGCCAUAGCUAGAGUCCGGUAGGGGCCCACGGAACUCCUGGUGUAGCGGUGAAAUGCGCAGAUAUCAGGAAGAACACCGGUGGCGAAGGCGGUGGGCUGGGCCGGCACUGACGCUGAGGAGCGAAAGCGUGGGGAGCGAACAGGAUUAGAUACCCGCGUAGUCCCUGUCUCUUAUA
rnacentral:rRNA from 1 species